GGGGGGGGCGGGGGGCGGGGGGGGGGGGGGCGGGGCGGGCGGGGAGGCCGUGCUUGCGGGGGCCUCGGGGGGCGAGCGGGUGGGUAACGCGGGGGUGAUCUGCCCUUCACUUCGGGAUAAGCCUGGGAACCUGGGUCUACUCCCGGAUAGGAGCCAUUUUUAGUGUGAUGGUUGGAACGUUUUUUCGGUGUAGGCUGAGCUCGCGGCCUAUCAGCUUGUUGGUGGGGUAAUGGCCUACCAAGGCGGCGACGGGUAGCCGGCCUGAGAGGGUGGACGGCCACAUUGGGACUGAGAUACGGCCCAGACUCCUACGGGAGGCAGCAGUGGGGAAUAUUGCACAAUGGGCGCAAGCCUGAUGCAGCGACGCCGCGUGGGGGAUGACGGCCUUCGGGUUGUAAACUCCUUUCGCUAGGGACGAAGCUUUUUGUGACGGUACCUAGAUAAGAAGCACCGGCUAACUACGUG
rnacentral:rRNA from 1 species